AACGCUGGAUCCUUAACCCUCUGAACAGGGCCAGGGAUCAAACCCAGAUCCUCAGUGAGACAGCUUCGGGUCCUUAACCCUCUGAGCCACGUCGGGAACUCCAGCAAAUGCUGCUCUUACACACGUUCUCUAUCGCAGGUGUAUGAGCUUCCCUUUUUGGUGGCUCUGGACCACAGGAAGGAGUCCGUGGUGGUGGCUGUGAGAGGAACCAUGUCCCUCCAGGACAUCCUUACGGACCUGUCAGCGGAGAGCGAGACCCUCAACUUAGAGUGUGAGGUGCAGGACUGCUUCGCACACAAGGUAGGAGCCCCGGGCGCGGGGUCUGGAAUGUUCCCCGAAGGAGAAACUCAGAGGGGUCAGAGUACGUUCAGCUCCAUGUCACUCCGUGGAUGCCGCCCCGAGUAACCAGCCGCGCCCGGCGCCGGCACUUAGAGCAGUUCCCUCAGCAGCCCUGGGGUUACUUUGGUUUUGGAAGAGGAGGAAGCAGGUUCAGAGCGACUUGCCAGCAGCCACACGGGUUCCUGGAGUAAAUGCCAGUUGGCAUCUGAAGCCUGGUUGAUUGCUUUGCUUCCCUGCAGUUAAAGUAAAACUUUCUCUUGGUGAAAAACGCUUUAGAGCCACCCGGGGCAGGGAACCACUCCCGCCCCCUCCCGAGAUGCAGGCAGGUCCCCUCUGCAGGGGUCCCAGGGUCUCCUUCCGCUCUCGCUGGGCGAGGGCGCAGGUGGGGCCCCGGAGCAGAGCUCCUCCGGUUAGAGACAGUUUGAAACGUACCCAGGGCGCUCGUUUUAACCAUCGGUGAAAGUACCCUUCCAUGGCGUUGGGCGCAUUUGGGUGCUGUGUGCCCGUCACCUCUGUGCAUCCCCAGAACGUGAUCGCCCCAAACACACACUGUCCCCGCUGGCGAGGAACCCGCUCCCAUUUUGCCAUCUCUCACCUUGCCGAGGCUCGUUAGCUCGUAGAAGCGGCACUGACAGUGUCUGUCCUUUGAUCGCUGGCUCAUGUCACUGAGCGUGGUGUCCUCAGGCUUCGUCCGUGUUGCACAUGGCGUGUG
rnacentral:lncRNA from 1 species